rnacentral:rRNA from 1 species
UACGUAGGAUGCAAGCGUUGUCCGGAAUUAUUGGGCGUAAAGAGUUCGUAGGCGGUUGCCUAAGUCUGGUGUUAAAUACAGGAGCUCAACUCCUGCAUGGCACUGGAAACUGGGCAGCUAGAGUGUGGUAGAGGUCACGGGAAUUCCAGGUGUAGCGGUGAAAUGCGUAGAUAUCGAGAGGAACACCUGCGGCGAAGGCGGGUAGCUGGGCCGACACUGACGCUGAGGCGCGAAAGCUAGGGGAGCGAACGGG